rnacentral:rRNA from 1 species
CCUACGGGAGGCAGCAGUGAGGAAUAUUGGUCAAUGGGCGUAAGCCUGAACCAGCCAAGUCGCGUGAGGGAUGAAGGUUCUCUGGAUCGUAAACCUCUUUUAUCAGGGAAUAAAGUGUGGGACGUGUCCUCUUUUGUAUGUACCUUAUGAAUAAGGAUCGGCUAACUCCGUGCCAGCAGCCGCGGUAAUACGGAGGAUCCGAGCGUUAUCCGGAUUUAUUGGGUUUAAAGGGUGCGUAGGCGGCCUUUUAAGUCAGCGGUGAAAGGCCGGGGCUCAACCCUAGAAGUGCCGUUGAAACUGGGAGGCUUGAGUGGGGGCGAGGUAGGCGGAAUGCGUGGUGUAGCGGUGAAAUGCUUAGAUAUCACGCAGAACACCGAUUGCGAAGGCAGCAUGCC